rnacentral:rRNA from 1 species
GUGGGGAAUAUUGGGCAAUGGGCGAAAGCCUGACGCAGCCAUGCCGCGUGAAUGAUGAAGGUCUUAGGAUUGUAAAAUUCUUUCACCGGGGACGAUAAUGACGGUACCCGGAGAAGAAGCCCCGGCUAACUUCGUGCCAGCAGCCGCGGUAAUACGAAGGGGGCUAGCGUUGCUCGGAAUUACUGGGCGUAAAGGGCGCGUAGGCGGACAGUUUAGUCAGAGGUGAAAGCCCAGGGCGCAACCUUGGAAUUGCCUUUGAUACUGGCUGUCUUGAGUACGGGAGAGGUGAGUGGAACUCCGAGUGUAGAGGUGAAAUUCGUAGAUAUUCGGAAGAACACCAGUGGCGAAGGCGACUCACUGGCCCGUUACUGACGCUGAGGCGCGAAAGCGUGGGGAGCAAACAGGAUUAGAUACCCCAGUAGUCC